CCAAGGGGAAUUGCCCCAGUAACGGCGAGUGAAGCGGCAACAGCUCAAAUUUGAAAUCUGGCCUCGGCCCGAGUUGAAAUUUGCAGAGGAUGCUUCUGGCGCGGUGCCUUCCGAGUUCCCUGGAACGGGACGCCACAGAGGGUGAGAGCCCCGUAUGGUCGGACACCAAGCCAGUGUGAAGCUCCUUCGACGAGUCGAGUAGUUUGGGAAUGCUGCUCUAAGCGGGAGGUAUACGUCUUCUAAAGCUAAAUACCGGCCAGAGACCGAUAGCGCACAAGUAGAGUGAUCGAAAGAUGAAAAGCACCUUGAAAAGGGGGUUAAACAGUACGUGAAAUUGUUGAAAGGGAAGCGCCUGUGACCAGACUUGCGCCGGGCGGAUCAUCCAGCGUUCUCGCUGGUGCACUCCGCCCGGCUCAGGCCAGCAUCGGUUCUGGCAGGGGGACAAAGGCGGCGGGAACGUGGCUCCCCCGGGAGUGUUAUAGCCCGCCGUGCAAUGCCCCUGCCGGGACCGAGGUUCGCGCAUCUGCAAGGAUGCUGGCGUAAUGGUCACCAGCGACCCGUCUUGAAACACGGAC
rnacentral:rRNA from 1 species